GUCCUCCGCAUUGGGACCUCCAUCUCGGUUGGAUCUGGGGUUGCGACUCUGUUCUGGCUCCACCGGUGGGCGGGAGACACCCCCUUCGCUGCACGCUUCCCCGACCUUUUCUCCAUCGCCGUCGACCCCUCGAUCUCAGUAGAGAGGGCCCUUAUUGACUUAGGGCGCCUCGCAUUCCGGAGGCCAUUUGGGCCUCCGGACUCCGCUGCCUGGCAUGAGUUACUUGAUUGCGUCGCUCUCCACAAGCCGGUAGUGGAUGCUGGCCCGGAUCAGGUUAGGUGGUGUCUUGAGCCGUCAGGCCAAUUCUCCACCAAGUCCCUCUACCAGGCCAUUGCUCCCUCCACCGCCUCCCCCCUUACGGCGGUGUGGUCCAUCCGCUUGCCACUGAAGAUCCGGAUCUUCAUGUGGCAAUGGAUCCGCGGACGGACCCCGUCUGGGGUGGAGGUCCGCAAGCGCAAUGGCCCUAGUACUGGCCUAUGCCCGUUGUGCGGUGUCCCCGAAGACUCAAAUCACAUCUUAUUCUCUUGUGUGUCUGCUCAAUUUAUGUGGAGCUGCUUUAGAGAGGUGGUGGGUGGUAAUUGGCGCCACACCAACUUCCCCGACCUAUUCGCCGAACUCCAGAACUCCCUCUGCCUUCUCGCCACAUUAGGUGGCUUGAGAUCGGGGCCCUCGCUUGGACCCUCUGGACGAUCCGCAAUAAACUUGUGA
rnacentral:rRNA from 1 species